GGAAGUUGAAUUGAACCGUUAAAAGCCUAGGCCGAGCAAUAACCCAUUAACAGAAUAAACACCGACUUUGAAUAAAAAUAAUCCUUUACCUAACGCGCUUUUCUAUAAAUAGGAUCCCUUCGCAACGAAGGCAAAGGUAAGAGGCGGCUAGAGAUAGAUUGGCUCAAUCAACGCGUUUGAUUCAACAAGGGUUUCUAGCGAUUUCAAAUCUCAAUUUUUUAUUUUGUGUUUCGUUUUAAUCUCUCUCUCUCUCACAUCCCUUUUGGGCGAGUUGAUGUUCCUAGGAGAACUGAUGUUGGGAAUUUGAAUUGGGCAGAUAAGAAUGGUUACGAUUACCCAUCUACCAGGCGUAAUGAUGGGUUCAAUUUGGGUCCUAGGCGAUGUAGGUUAGAGGAUGUUAUGAGAGUCAAGAGUGAUUUAGCCCCGAUGUUGGAUGACGGGGUUCAGCAGCCCGCACAGAAAAAGAGGAAGUUUUCCCCGAUUGUAUUGAACGUUGAAGAGAAGGAAGUGAGAAUUUCGUCUAGGAAUGGAGCCCUAGAUGCAGUUAGGGCCCCGCUGUUUUCGAAUCUAGUGGAGAAUUCGCCACUCAAGUCUACGGUGUCUGAUUUUAGUUUUGUUUUAUCUACGCUUGUUGGCCAGCAAUGUGAGGGUGUUGAACAAGAACAAGAUAUGACGGGAAAAGAGAAACGUCUAGGGCCUAACAUAUUCACAUCUCGUUGGGCCUCUGAUAGUGAUGAUGAAGAUGAUUCUCGAAGCAAGGAAAAGAUUAGGAGGAGUUCGAGUCUAGAGAGUGGAGAGUUUGAAAGAGACGAUUUGGAAGGAGAUGGGGUGCUGUCCAGCGAAAGAAGUAGCAGUAUAUUGUCUGCUUGGAAGGAUGAAGAUAUGGAAUGCAAGUUGGAAUCGGAUGGUGUGAUGGACAUUGAUGGAACAUUUGAUGAAGAUGCUUCUGAUGAUCAGUCAGAUUCAGAUGUUGAAGAGUUAGGAGGAGGUAUGAACAUGCUUUUGGGUUGCAGAAGUGUGUAUGAAUAUGAAAGAUUGAACAAAAUAAGUGAAGGUACAUAUGGUGUUGUUUUUAGAGCUAGGGAUAAGAAGACGGGUGAAAUCGUGGCCUUGAAGAAGGUAAAGAUUCUAGACAGAAGAGAAUUAGAAGAAUUCGGUUUCCCUUUGACAUCACUUAGGGAAAUUAACAUUCUUGCUUCAUUUAACCACCCUUCAAUUGUGAAAGUUAAAGAAGUUGUUGUAGAUGACCAUGACAAUGUUUACAUGGUUAUGGAGUAUAUGGAACAUGACUUGAAGACUCUAAUGGAGUCCAUGAAAUGGCCCUUUAGUACAAGUGAUGUUAAAUGUUUGAUGCUACAACUAUUGGAGGGUGUUAAAUAUCUUCAUGAUAAUUGGGUGCUCCAUAGGGAUUUGAAAACAUCCAAUCUUCUCUUGAGCAACCAAGGGGAGCUGAAAAUAUGUGAUUUUGGUAUGGCGCGCCAGUAUGGAAGCCCUCAAAAGCCAUAUACAACUAAAGUGGUUACACAGUGGUAUAGAGCACCUGAACUUUUAGUUGGAGCAAAGACGUAUUCAACAGCAGUUGACAUGUGGUCUGUAGGCUGUAUAAUGGCGGAGAUGUUAGCUAAGCAACCCUUAUUCAAAGGGACAAGUGAAAUUGAUCAGCUUCGCAAGAUCUUUGAUACUCUUGGUACUCCAAAUGAGAACAUUUGGGCCGGCUUUUCUGAAUUACCUGGGUCUAAGGCAAAUUAUUCUAAGCAACGGUAUAAUUUGUUGCGUAAAAAGUUUCCUGUGGCAUCUUUCACAGGAUCUGCUGUUCUUUCUGAUACUGGAUUUGAUUUAUUAAACAGGCUUCUUACAUACGAUCCUGAUAAAAGAAUAACAGCUGAUGAUGCUCUUAAACAUGAUUGGUUCCAGACAUAUACAAGGAACCAUGAUCUGAAUGUGAUGCAGCUGCGGUGGGGAAAAAAAUCCCUUUUAUACUGUUGUGGGGCUAGCGGAUUGGCUCAUAGAGCCACUAUGCUAUUUUUCGUUCUGCUUGUAUCUUGGUUCAAUGAUUAACAAGAGGCACAUAGAUGACUUGCUUGCAGAGAUUAAUUUUUCGAGGUGAUUAGUUACAGCCUUCCUCAAUUCACUUAUUAGGAUGAUUUUGUGAUGAAUUGUAAUGGUCCUUAGCACCGAUUGAAUAUGAAGGUGAAGGUUAUUGACUUUACCUUUUCUUAGUAUAUUGUAUCAGAUACUUGUGUAUAUAUCUUUAGCCAUGUUUAAAAUUUCCUUAUUGUCAUACUUAUAUUAUUGCUCACAUUGUUUCCUUCAAUUUUUCACAUUGCUUGCAAGAGUCUACUGAUGCUUGGAAGCGAACAGCAUUGGUCUUUCCUGCUCAUAAGCAGUAAGUUGAGUGCUUUGGAAAUGAAUUAAAUCAUUUAUGAGAUGCUGGUUUUGUUUUCUUGUCUGUUGCAAUUGUUGCAGCAUUGCGGGAAGGUUUGCAGCUUACACAUAUUUAUGUUAUCCUUUAUUGUGCAAGUAAGAUGCUUUAUGCAUUGCUGGUCUUGCCUUAUUAUCUUUUGAUCGAACUGUUAGUAUAAUUAUGACCAAAAGAAUUGAUGUUAUGGAGUAAUUGGCUGGAUAUGAUGCACAGAUGUUUCUGAUUUAACAUAUGCAGAUGUUACUGAUGGAGAAAUAUAAGAUAAAAGGAACUCUUAUAAGCGUAUCAUCUCUUACUCUUUCUUUUCUUUUUCUUUUUCCUUUUCCUUUAUUCCUUUGUCCUCAUGAAUGGAUCUUACAGCUUUAACCAUCUUGAACUGCAUAAAAUGGAACGAUUAUAUAAUGCAAGUGGAAGUGAGUGAAUCGAACCAAUUUGAACUCUGCAGACGGUUAAAGUGUAUCAUGUCUUACCUUGUUCUUUUCCUUUAUCCUUUUUCUCCUCAUGAAUGAAUUCUUACAGCUUUAACCAUCAUGAACUGUAAAAGUGAAAUAUACGGUACAAGCGGAUGUGAUUGAACCAAACCAAGUUGACAUUGAAGAUGGAUAAAGCGUAUCAUCUCUUACUUUGUCUUUUCAUUUAUCCUUUUCUCCUCAUGAAUGAAUUCUUACAGCUUUUACAAUCUUGAACUGUAAUAAUGAAACAAUUGUAUGAUACAAGCGGAUGUGAUUGAACCAAACCAAGUCGACGCUGAAGGCUCAUCAAAUUGAGAGAACUGAUGAGUGGUGCCCGGCCUAAUGCUAUAGACCAAAUUUUCAUAACUACGAAGCUUGUUGUCGGGAUGAUGAUGAUGAUGACGUUGAACAAAUGAUAUGGCAUAUGGGGUGGGUGGUGAUUCUACUGCGAAAUGGGUGAAAACUAUGCACUGAGUUUCUCCGUGCAGAAUUGUCUCUUUGAUUCCUGAAAAAUUUUCUUUCUCAAGGAAAAAGCAUACAUUAAAUGGAGCCUGAAUAUUCAAAAUACAUAUACUUUUGAAUUUUGAAUUGAUUUAAAUAUAUAUAAUUAAAAUUGUGAUCUUUGCUUCAAUGUGUAGAAUUCUUUGUGAAUUGAAGUAUUGAUUUUUAUUAUGUAAA